rnacentral:rRNA from 1 species
AUGAACGCUAGCUACAGGCUUAACACAUGCAAGUCGAGGGGCAGCAUGGUCUUAGCUUGCUAAGACUGAUGGCGACCGGCGCACGGGUGAGUAACACGUAUCCAACCUGCCGUCUACUCUUGGACAGCCUUCUGAAAGGAAGAUUAAUACAAGAUGGCAUCAUGAGUCCACAUGUUCACAUGAUUAAAGGUAUUCCGGUAGACGAUGGGGAUGCGUUCCAUUAGAUAGUAGGCGGGGUAACGGCCCACCUAGUCUUCGAUGGAUAGGGGUUCUGAGAGGAAGGUCCCCCACAUUGGAACUGAGACACGGUCCAAACUCCUACGGGAGGCAGCAGUGAGGAAUAUUGGUCAAUGGGCGAGAGCCUGAACCAGCCAAGUAGCGUGAAGGAUGACUGCCCUAUGGGUUGUAAACUUCUUUUAUAAAGGAAUAAAGUCGGGUAUGCAUACCCGUUUGCAUGUACUUUAUGAAUAAGGAUCGGCUAACUCCGUGCCAGCAGCCGCGGUAAUACGGAGGAUCCGAGCGUUAUCCGGAUUUAUUGGGUUUAAAGGGAGCGUAGAUGGAUGUUUAAGUCAGUUGUGAAAGUUUGCGGCUCAACCGUAAAAUUGCAGUUGAUACUGGAUAUCUUGAGUGCAGUUGAGGCAGGCGGAAUUCGUGGUGUAGCGGUGAAAUGCUUAGAUAUCACGAAGAACUCCGAUUGCGAAGGCAGCCUGCUGGACUGUAACUGACGCUGAUGCUCGAAAGUGUGGGUAUCAAACAGGAUUAGAUACCCUGGUAGUCCACACAGUAAACGAUGAAUACUCGCUGUUUGCGAUAUACAGCAAGCGGCCAAGCGAAAGCGUUAAGUAUUCCACCUGGGGAGUACGCCGGCAACGGUGAAACUCAAAGGAAUUGACGGGGGCCCGCACAAGCGGAGGAACAUGUGGUUUAAUUCGAUGAUACGCGAGGAACCUUACCCGGGCUUAAAUUGCAGAUGAAUUACGGUGAAAGCCGUAAGCCGCAAGGCAUCUGUGAAGGUGCUGCAUGGUUGUCGUCAGCUCGUGCCGUGAGGUGUCGGCUUAAGUGCCAUAACGAGCGCAACCCUUGUUGUCAGUUACUAACAGGUUCUGCUGAGGACUCUGACAAGACUGCCAUCGUAAGAUGUGAGGAAGGUGGGGAUGACGUCAAAUCAGCACGGCCCUUACGUCCGGGGCUACACACGUGUUACAAUGGGGGGUACAGAGGGCCGCUACCACGCGAGUGGAUGCCAAUCCCAAAAACCUCUCUCAGUUCGGACUGGAGUCUGCAACCCGACUCCACGAAGCUGGAUUCGCUAGUAAUCGCGCAUCAGCCACGGCGCGGUGAAUACGUUCCCGGGCCUUGUACACACCGCCCGUCAAGCCAUGGGAGCCGGGGGUACCUGAAGUGCGUAACCGCGAGGAGCGCCCUAGGGUAAAACUGGUGACUGGGGCU